rnacentral:ncRNA from 2 species
UACACAACCCACGGGGGCUCGCACCAGCGGGCUGAGAGGACGGCUAGGGCCGUCGACCGUUGAACCUGACCGGGUAAUGCCGGCGUAGGGAGAGCACGCAUGAGGGAC